rnacentral:lncRNA from 10 species
CCGCUUCCUGUCGGGUCAGCAGCGGCAUUAGCGUCUCAUAGGAGCAUGAACCCUACUGUGAACUGCGCAUGCGAGGGAUCUAGGCUGCGCGCUCCUUAUGAGAAUCUAACGCCUGAUGACCUAUCACUGUCUCCCAUCACUCCCAGAUGGGACCGUCUAGUUGCAGGAAAACAAGCUCAGGGCUCCCACUGAUUCUACAUUAUGGAAAUUUCAUGAUCCGACUGGAAUCCAGGAAAAUCACAGCUGAAAUACAAAACAUCAGCCCUUAUCUCCAGCACUGUACAUGGCAGAAACUGCUUUUAUUCUAGAUGUCUAGAUCCAGAUCAACUGCAUGGGGUCCUACAGGAGAAGACCAAGAGACAGAGACAGAGACCAGGGAAAAUGACCGAUACCAUUCCUUCUCAGGGAUGCUACACACCCAUGGGGCAGAGGAUAAGAGGUUCCUGAAGGCAUCACCCCUCUGGCCAUGGCUGGUGUGCAGACAAAGCUGGAGAUUUGGAGUAGCCUGUUGUCCCACUGACUCUUAGACUGCCCCAGCUAAGAAGAACCAACUCCUCCUAUUACAGAUGAAAUAAACAAAGCUACUCAAGCUCUCUGGCAUCGCCCUGACGGUCAUCAUGUGCUUCACAUUUCCCUCCUGCCCCCCCUGAUUUUCUGGAAAAGGGAGAAAGUGUGUGAAAAAAAAUGGACAAUAACUUCUGUUAACUUUGUAGAUGUCUGGUUCCUCCAUAUGAGGCUGUGCUUGAAUCAAUUUUGGAGAGAGGGUUUCUAAAGUCUCUCUAGAUUCUAUUAAUUUUGAUAGAGACAAUAAAAGGCAGCAGGACCAACUCUGUGUGGUGGGAGAUCUAGCAACCAUUAUAGUCACAAUAGCCACCACUUACUGAACACCCACCAUGUGACAAAGAACAAAUGUGCAUGAAUUAUGUCACAUUUUUCACAAGCACCCCUUGAGUUGGGAGUUCACUCAUGAGGCAACUGAGGUUCAGGGAGAUGAAGUAACUCACCCUGUAGGUAGGAGGGCUGAGAUCUGGACGUAGAUCUUUCCUCCAAAGCUUUGUCUUUUUUUUUCUACUAUAGCACACCAAAGAGAGUUCUAGAAAAAAUGAGAAUAAGAAAUUUACCUGUAAUCCUUGCUCAAGAAACUGAAGCUCUGAGGCCACAUUGUUCCAGCCUUUUGCAGCUCCUGCAUGUGGAUACCAGCACCAGCAGCUCCCCGACCAGGGGCCCCAGCUAAGCCCUCCCAGAGGAUGAUCUUGGCUUUGUACAUGGGGUGUCAAUAUCCUGUGAGUCCAACAGAGGGAAGACAUAAGAAUAUGGUCACCCAGAGAUACCCAUCUAAAGUCACUGUCGCUUACAGUUGUGGCAAUUCUGAAUGUCGACAGGAGAAUGUCUCCCGGAUUUCAGCCUUUUAGAAGAUAAAAUGGUCCUAUGUGUUCAUGAACAAAACCCACCAGUUUCCCCAGGGCAGUGAGUUACCUGACAUCUGGCAGAUUCCUGGAAGGUUUCCUCUGGCCCCAUACUGGGAUCCAUUCCUGGGACAACUAGAAGUGCCAGGGAGUUAAAGCCCCAAGAGCGACCUUCAAGCCAAUAAGAGAUGGAGUUGGAAUGAAAACCUCAGCUUCCUCAUACCUCAGUGGGACAAUCCUGAGAUGUGUUCCUCAAGUCUCUCCAAGGACCUGAUGGGACUGAGUCCUGGUUGCUCAUGAGAGAAACCAGCAGGACUGGAUGUCAGUGAUUGCACCAUGCAGGAUUACAGAUUGUGCUGAGUUUAGAUUUUCUGCCUUCCUCCUCAGUUGUCAGGCUGCUAGCCAGCUCUUCUGCUCCCAUGACACCUGCAUCGAAUGCCUGCCCUUUCCUUACUACAAGACCCUUUCCAGUUCCCAGAUUAGAAUCUGCCACAGGCUAGGAAUCCCACAUCCCAGUAGUGAUUUGGCUCCAAGUGCAAAGGCACCUAGUGUCUGCCUUUUGUUCAGCAGCUUGGUGAUGGACAUAUCCAGGACUCAGAGACCCCUUUCCCUCAGCUCUCUGAGUUGGAAGCUGUCAGGUGCAGAAGGGCAACAUCUUACAUACACAGGGUUUGGGCAGGUCUGGGCAGUGCCUGGUUAAUGUUAAAUAAUGCAGAUAAAGGAAUUGUUGACAUCUGAAAGUCAAUAUGAAAAUUGUAUGCACUGCUGUGACUCAUGCAACUUCACUCCCAGCCCUGGUUCUCAUGAUUCCAGAAGUGGAAAAAAUAAGGCAACUCUUUUCCUCACAAUUCAAAAAAAUACCUAUUGAGCAACAUCAGCUUGGCCCACACAAGACAAUUUUUAUCCCUUCCGUUAGUUAACUUUGCUUUGGCCAAAGGCCAGAAAAACCUCAUUCUUUACAGGCAACCUCAGACCACCAUCCUGGAUCCACUUCAAAAACUAACUGCAGACCUGUGUCUUACUAGAGGUGAUUUGGUAGCAUUGAAGAUCAAAUCCCGAUUUAAAAAAUUAAAAAAAAAAUGAACAUAAAAUGCAUUUUUAACAAUGUUUGCAGUGUUUUUCUUGUCUGCAAAUUAAUUAUAUAGGUUAAUACAGGAAACUUCCCAUUGCACACACACAAAAGAGCUCUGUCUAACUGAACAACCAAU